rnacentral:lncRNA from 1 species
GCUAAAACAGCCUCCUUAAAACAGGCAAGCAGAAAAACCAUAUACGCAAAAGGAGGUGCCAAACCUGACAACAUAAGCUCACAUGGCUCCUGGACAUAGGAUGACUGGCCAUUUGGAAUGUCACAAAGGACUCCAGCUGAGUGAAAGGCAUUGUCUCUUCUGGGCAUUUGUAUUUAGAAUACAAACAUUGUAUUUGGUCUCUAUAGAUGUUGAAACUGGAAGAUCAUACAAAACCAAAAACAAAGAUAUUGGAUAGCAAUUCAACUGUAAUGUACAGAAAUGCAUUAAGAAAAAAUGCAUAUGUAAGGAAAAAUAAAGCCAAGAAAAAUCAGAAUUAAAUUUUUACUUUUUACACUUAGUUCCUCUUGAGAACCCUAUCUUCUUCAAGCAAACUCCCCAUUUACUAGUUAAAGCAAAUUUCUAAACCUUGAAACUAAAUUACCCCAACUGUAAUAGGACCUUAAUAUCAAUAAGCUCAGGUUUCUUACUUAACAAACAAAUGGAGAAAUUGUAACCCAAGCAGGGGCAAAGGAAUCCUCUAGAGUAACAGAAUGACUCAGCCAUAACUGGGUUUCAGAUCACCAACUCCGAAAAUAUUCUGUCUCCAUUAUCUGAUAUUGUCUCUUCAUUCUAAUUAUUUAAGAAAUUGAGAAAAGUUUAUAAAUUCAUUCUUACUCUACCAUUGAUAAAAAGGUAUUGAGGCCGGGCACGGUGGCUCACGCCUGUAAUCCCAGCACUUUGAGGGCCAAGGCAGGCGGAUCACGAGGUCAGGG